rnacentral:lncRNA from 1 species
GAAGACCGCAUGCAGCUUCACAAACCUACCCAGUCAGAGGAUAAAAGUUACUUGGGUUUACAGAAGUCUUCUCCUAGGCGUGCCUAGGUUACAGCCUGCAAUCACUUGUGUGUGCCACCAUGCCUGGUUUUUUAACAUGUGAUCUAGAUAUAAAACUCAGAUCAUCAUGCCUGCAUGCCAGGUCCUUUACUGAUGCACCUAGGCAUGAAAAAACAGCAGGAGAGGGGCUGGAGAGAUGGCUCAACAGUACCCAGAUGUUCUCCCAGAGGUCCUGAGUUCUAUUCCUAGCAACCAAAUGGUGGCUUACAACCGUCUAUAAUGGGAUCCAAUGCCCUGUUCUGGCAUGCACCCUAUUAUACACACAGAACUCAUACAUUUAAAAAAAAAAAAAAGCAGUAAAGCACUACCUAGAAUCCCCCAAUGAGGGGCUGGGGUGUGGCUCAGUGGUAGAGCCCCUGCCCAGAGUCCCCCAGUGAGGAGCUGGGGUGCAGACAGCAGUAGGUUGCUUGCUCAGCAUGUUAGUCCCUGGGUUUGAUCCAGAGUGCUGCAAGAGGCUCCUCCUUUCUGGUUAAUUUACAAUGGCGGCAGGGAACCAAGUAGAACCUGAAGACACACUAGUGACCAAUUACUGACAACUAAGUUUAGUGACACACAUGGAUUCUCUGUUUGGGGGAAGCAGACAAGGGGCCAGUCUCAAUGAGAGAAAUAAAUCAUGACUUUGGGUCCAUAAGCAGGUCUAGGGCCCAACCUGGAAAUUAUUUUUAGAGGACUCUUCAUGUGUGGGGUGGCUAACGAUCCUGAAGGCCUUCGCUCAGCCACUCAGCCAUUUUUUUUAGUAUUGCCAAAGCCACCAAAAACUAGUCCUCCUCAGAGUCGGGAUUUGAGACAGUGCUGUCAUAGGACCUUGGCCAUGUGGAACAGGUGAGCUUAGGGAGGGGCUUUGACCUGGGAGGAUGCUGUGGGCUGGAGAGCUGGCUCAGCAGGAAAGAGCUCUUAACUCUACAAGCAUGAAGACCUGAGUUCAAAUCCCCAGAUUCCCACAUUAAGUCAGACAUGUUCCUGCACUUGCUUCUAGUCACAGCCCUGUGAAGAGCGGAGACAGGAGGAUUAUUGUGGUGGUUUGAAUGAGGUAUCCUCAUAGCCUUGGGCGUUUAGAUACUUGGUCUCCAGCUGGUGGCACCGUCUGGGAGGUGUGGCCUUGCUGAAGAAACUACGUCCCUGUGGGCAGGCUACAGAGGUUUCCAAGACUCAACUUCCAAGUUCACUGAGUCUACCUCUUUCUUGGGCUUUGAGAUGUGAGCUCUCACUGUUCCUGCUGCCCUGGCUACUGCCUGUUGCCAUGAUUCCUGUCAUCAUAGAGUCUUAUCUCUCUAGAACCAUAAGCCCAAAUAAACCCUCCUCUGUAGGCUGCUUUGGUUGAAAUGUCUUAUCACAGCAAUAGAAAGUAACCAGUCAGAUCACCACAGCUUGCUGGCCGACAGCCUGGCCCCAGAGAAUGAUGGAGUGGGUCACCCAAAGUCCCCUUGCCUCUGUGGAUGACAGACACAUGUGCAUAUACUACACACACACACUCACACACAUACACACACACAAGGGGGUGUCAUGAUAAAGUUUCAGAGAAGCCACCCAGGGUCCCACUGCUCUGCUACAAAAAGACAACAAACAAACAAUCCAACUGCUUUUCCUGUCUCUUCUCAGGCCUUCUGAGGCUCAUCCCAGGGCCUCUUACCUGCUUCCUGUACUGUGGAGGCCAUGGCUAGUCCCCGUAAGACGCCCAGAAGUGGCCAGAGAGAGCCUGAGGUUGGGCCAGGAAGAGCCCCUUUAUGGUCCAGCAGCAGCAGACAGGCAGUAGCCGACAUGAAGCAGUGACCCAAAAGGCCAUUGAGGAAGAGUCAUAUCACCGAGAAUGCGGGAUCCCAGCCCACAGGAUGUUGUCACCUGCAUCCCACCUUUGUCUUCCUCUUUAAUCUUUCUGGAAAUACCCUCCUAGUAGCAGCCAAAGGAGUGUUUCCAUGGAGAUUCUAAUCCCAUCUAAUUGAGCAUCAAAGGACCAGUGAGAUGGCUCAGUGUACCCACUUGCUACCAAGCCUGAUGACCUGGGUUCAAUUGCUGGGAGCCAGUGGUGGAAAGAGACUACCAACUCCGGAAGCUGUCCUGUGAUGUCUCCCCCGACCCCCACAUGCAAAUUCUUAAUUAAUAUAAUUUUAUUUAGGUAUUAUCUAUUUAUGAAUUAAUUUUCUUUAUUUAUGUUUUAUAGAUAAACUAUUUAUAAAUUAUUUAUAAACUAAUUAUUUAUAAACUAUUUAUAAAUUU